rnacentral:rRNA from 1 species
CAGCGCCGCGGUAAUACGAAGGGUGCAAGCGUUAAUCGGAAUUACUGGGCGUAAAGCGUGCGUAGGCGGUGAGUUAAGUCUGCUGUGAAAUCCCCGGGCUCAACCUGGGAAUGGCAGUGGAUACUGGCUCGCUAGAGUGUGUCAGAGGAUGGUGGAAUUCCCGGUGUAGCGGUGAAAUGCGUAGAGAUCGGGAGGAACAUCAGUGGCGAAGGCGGCCAUCUGGGACAACACUGACGCUGAGGCACGAAAGCGUGGGGAGCAAACAGGAUUAGAUACCCCGGUAGUCCCUGUCUCUUAUACA